GAUUUUUUUAUGUUAAAUGGGUCGACGUUUUGCCGCUAUCUCGCCUGAUGGUAAGUGAUGAUGCGGCCUACGAUGGAGCACGUCUGCCCAUAAGCAACCUAUUCACUCGGGCUUUGAAGACACCCAGGUUAUACCCAUCAGGAAACACAGACUCCGGCAAGGAGUUCCACUCCCUAGCAGUUCGCACAAGGAAGCUUGAA